UGUGAUUAUUAUUUCGAGACAGGGUCUCACUCUGUUGCCCAGGCUGGAGUGCCGUGGUGCGACCACUGUAGCCUCAACCUCCUGGGCUCAAACAAUCCGCCCACCUCAGCCCCUUGAGUAGCUGGGACUACAGACGCAUGCCACUAGUUUUUUUAAUUUUUUUGUAGAGACAGGGUCUCAUUAUGUUGUCCAGGCUGGUCUUGAGUUCCUGGACUCAAGUGAUCCUCCAACCUCAGCCUCCCGAAGUGCUAGGUUUACAGGCAUGAUCAGUGACCUUUGAUGUUACUAUUGUAAUUGUUUUGAGGUGCCACAAAUCGCACCCAUAUAAGACAGCAAACUUAAUCAAUAAGUGUGCAUGUUCCGAUUGCUCAACUGACCAACCGGCUAUUUCCCCAUCUCUCUCCCCUCUUCCGUGGGCCUCCCUACUCCCUGAGACACAAUAACAUUGAAGUUAAGCCAACUAAUAAUCCUACAAUAGCCUCUAAGUGUUCAAGUGAAAGGAAGAGUCGCACGACUCUCACUUUAAAUCAAAAGCUACAAAUGAUUAAGCUUAGUGAGGAACGCAUGUCGAAAGCUGAGAUCGGCCAAAAGCUAUGCCUCUUGUGCCAGUUAGUCAAGUUGUGAAUGCAGGGGAAAAGCUGUUGAAGGAUGUUGAAAGUGUCACUCCAGGGAACAUACAAAUGAUAAGAAAGCAAAACAUCCUUAUUGCUGAUACGGGGAAAGUUUGAGUAGUCUGGAUAGAAGAUCAAACCAGCCACAACAUUCCCUUUAGCCAAAGCCUAAUCCAGACCAAGGCCAUAACUCUUCAAUUCUGUGGAGGCUGAGAGAGGUGAGGUUAUCUAUAGAAGAAAACUUGGAAGCUAACAGAGGCUGGUUCAUCAGAUUGAAGGAAAGAAGCCAGCUCUAUAAC
rnacentral:lncRNA from 1 species